CCUACGGGUGGCAGCAGUGAGGAAUAUUGGUCAAUGGGCGGGAGCCUGAACCAGCCAAGUCGCGUGAGGGAAGACGGUCCUAUGGAUUGUAAACCUCUUUAGGCGGGGAGCAAUGCCGGGCACGUGUGCCCGGAGGGAGAGUACCCGCAGAAUAAGCAUCGGCUAACUCCGUGCCAGCAGCCGCGGUAAUACGGAGGGGGCAAGCGUUAUCCGGAUUUACUGGGUGUAAAGGGAGCGUAGACGGCAUAGCAAGUCUGAAGUGAAAGCCCAAGGCUCAACCAUGGGACUGCUUUGGAAACUGUUAAGCUAGAGUGCUGGAGAGGUAAGCGGAAUUCCUAGUGUAGCGGUGAAAUGCGUAGAUAUUAGGAAGAACACCAGUGGCGAAGGCGGCUUACUGGACAGUAACUGACGUUGAGGCUCGAAAGCGUGGGGAGCAAACAGGAUUAGAUACCCGAGUAGUC
rnacentral:rRNA from 1 species